ensembl:miRNA
UAGGUUGGUGCCAAAGUCACUGCGGUUUUUGCCAUUAAAAGUAAAUUGCAAAAACUGCAAUCACUUUUGCACCAACCCAAUA